UAAUACGAAGGGGGCUAGCGUUGCUCGGAAUCACUGGGCGUAAAGGGUGCGUAGGCGGGUCUUUAAGUCAGGGGUGAAAUCCUGGAGCUCAACUCCAGAACUGCCUUUGAUACUGAGGAUCUUGAGUUCGGGAGAGGUGAGUGGAACUGCGAGUGUAGAGGUGAAAUUCGUAGAUAUUCGCAAGAACA
rnacentral:rRNA from 1 species